rnacentral:rRNA from 1 species
CUAGCUGUAAACGAUGGAUACUAGGCGUUGAGAGUAUCGACCCUCUCAGUGUCGUAGCUAACGCGUUAAGUAUCCCGCCUGGGGAGUACGCGCGCAAGCGUGAAACUCAAAGGAAUUGACGGGGGCCCGCACAAGCGGUGGAGUAUGUGGUUUAAUUCGAUGCAACGCGAAGAACCUUACCAGGGCUUGACAUGUCCGGAACCCUGCCCAAAGGCGGGGGUGCCUACGGGAACCGGAACACAGGUGGUGC